rnacentral:lncRNA from 10 species
CAGGAAGUCCUCAGAAGCAGAAAUCCAAAGGACUGUGAGCUAUUCAGUAUCCCCAGAAUGCCGGGCAGAGCAGACUGCAAAGAAAUAUUGCUUUGGUGAAUGAUGUGCCGGGAUGAGGUGGAGGCAGGAAGGCCAGAAAUGAGCACAGUCAUCCAGCCAAACGGUGCUGGGAGCUCAGGACGGAGUGGCAGAGUGGUGUUGGGAAAGAAGGGACAUUUAAACAAGAUGGAAGAGCAAGAGGACUUGAUGCUCCUGCAAGCAGUCCAGGAAAGGUUAGAUUGUGUGUUUAUUUUCCUCACUAAACCCACAAGAUUUAUAUGUUGAAAUUCUAACCCCUAAGGCAAUAGGAAGUGGGGCCUUUUGCAGGUGAUUAUGUCAGAUGGAAUUAGUGCCCUUAUAAAAGACACCCUAGAGAGCUGCCUUGCUCCUUCAACCACAGGAGGACACAGCAAGAAAGUGCCAUCUAUGAACCAGAAAGUGGGUUCUCACUAGACACCCAGUCUGCCUGGAUCUUGAACCUGCCAGCCUCCAGAACCAUGAGAAAUAAAUUUCUAUUGUUUAUAAGCCACCCAGUCUAUUUUGUUAUAACAGCCGGAACAGACUGACACCUUGGCACUGGCAAUCUUUCUAUGUUAUAGAAUUAACCCAGUGCCAGCCUCAUUAUUGUGAAAUAAGCUGGCCUAUUCUGCAGUAGAUAGUAAUCCAGCAAUAAAAGGCAAGCAGCUGAAAAAUCAACAUGGAGCAUUCCUCGGCCCAUUCCCUUUGGUGCACUUAGCAAGGACAUGAGCAGACGCUGUCAGUUUGAGUCACAAGGCAUGUGUCCUGGCUCUUCACGUGCCCCCGAGCACAGGUCUUAGAGUUUGGGGCAACUCUUCGGGGGUCAGUGUGACUCACAGGCAUGGAGCAUGAGCAAAGUGGUGGGCUGAGUGGUUGGAAGGUAAUAAAUUCUUAAACUUAACUAAAAUAACCCAAGUCUUAAUUCAGGAUAUUGGUUGCCUAAGCAACAGAGAGGUUAAAGCAGCAAUAAAUUAUGGCUAGUCUUAUCAAAAUAG